GAUGAACGCUGGCGGCGUGCCUAAUACAUGCAAGUCGAGCGAACGGACGAGAAGCUUGCUUCUCUGAUGUUAGCGGCGGACGGGUGAGUAACACGUGGAUAACCUACCUAUAAGACUGGGAUAACUUCGGGAAACCGGAGCUAAUACCGGAUAAUAUUUUGAACCGCAUGGUUCAAAAGUGAAAGACGGUCUUGCUGUCACUUAUAGAUGGAUCCGCGCUGCAUUAGCUAGUUGGUAAGGUAACGGCUUACCAAGGCAACGAUGCAUAGCCGACCUGAGAGGGUGAUCGGCCACACUGGAACUGAGACACGGUCCAGACUCCUACGGGAGGCAGCAGUAGGGGAUCUUCCGCAAUGGGCGAAAGCCUGACGGAGCAACGCCGCGUGAGUGAUGAAGGUCUUCGGAUCGUAAAACUCUGUUAUUAGGGAAGAACAUAUGUGUAAGUAACCGUGCACAUCUUGACGGUACCUAAUCAGAAAGCCACGGCUAACUACGUG
rnacentral:rRNA from 1 species